rnacentral:rRNA from 1 species
UACGUAGGUGGCGAGCGUUAUCCGGAAUUACUGGGUGUAAAGGGUGUGUAGGCGGGAGUGCAAGUCAGACGUGAAAACUAUGGGCUCAACCCAUAACGUGCGUUUGAAACUGUGCUUCUUGAGAGUGGGAGAGGUAAACGGAAUUCCUGGUGUAGUAGUGAAAUGCGUAGAUAUCAGGAGGAACACCGGUGGCGAAGGCGGUUUACUGGACCACAACUGACGCUGAGACACGAAAGCGUGGGGAGCAA